UACGGGGGGGGGUAAGCGUUGUUCGGAAUUACUGGGCGUAAAGGGCUCGGAGGCGGCCAACUAAGUCAUACGUGAAAUCCCUCAGCUUAACUGGGGAACUGCGUGUGAUACUGGAUGGCUUGGAUUUGGGAGAGGGAUGCGGAAUUCCAGGUGUAGCGGUGAAAUGCGUAGAUAUCUGGAGGAACACCGGUGGCGAAGGCGGCAUCCUGGACCAAUAUUGACGCUGAGGUGCGAAAGCGUGGGGAGCAAACAGG
rnacentral:rRNA from 1 species